rnacentral:lncRNA from 1 species
CGGGCACCGGCGAGGGGCUCCCGCUGCUGGUGGGGGAGGCAGCGUCCGUGGGCGUUCCAGUGCCGCCGGGGGUCCCGGCCACCCCCGGCGCUACGGCGGCGCUGGGCUCGGGCGUCCCUGGGGCCGGCUGGGAUGUGGCCGGGUGCUGGGGGGCUGCCGGCUCUCCCAUGCCGGGGGCCGGCAGCGAGGCCCCGUGGGCCGGCGGGCUGGAGGAGGGCGGCGGGCGGCCAGUGGCUCCCCAGGGCCCAGUGUCGCCCCACUCCAGCGCCGGCGUCCCCAGGGUUUCAGUGGCCGUGGGGGUGCUGAGCCCUGGGGCCGGGGAGGUGGGUUCCGCGGAGCUGCUGGCCGGGGUGGGCUGGGGGGACCCCAGCAGGGCCGUGGGGCUGGCGUGGGGCGCUGGGGGCUCCCCGGGCAGGGCUGAUGGGUGCCCAGUGCUGGUCGGGGGGGCCCAGCCGCGCUCGGGGAGCCCCUCAGUGCCGGCCAGCCCCGACACCCCCGCGGCCGGGGUCAGGCCUCGCUCCGGGCUGGGGGACGUCUGCCCCCAGGCACCGGCCAUGGCAGUGGGGACGGGCAGCCCCGACACCGCACCAGUGGCCGGCAGCGCGCUCAGGGCGGUCCCCGCAGCUGGCCAGGCUGUGCCGGCCGUGGUGAGACCCCCUCGGCCCCCAGCCCCCGGGGCAGAGCCAGGGUCCCGCUGGGUGACGGCGGCAGGGGCCCCUCCGGGGGCUGGAUCCAUCCCCCCUGGGCUGGGGGUGCCRGUGGGGCUCAGCCUUCCCCCCGCUGCGAGGGCUGCCGUCGCCAGAGCGGGCGCAGGCGUCCCCAUGCCACUCUCGCCAGUCGCUGGUGAGGUGUCAUCCACGGGGGCCGGGGACACCGGCAAGGCACUGGCGGACGCCCACUCCCACCCGCCGGGGCCGGGGGAGCGCGUGAGGGUCCCCUCCGGCCCCACAGUGCCCACCGCCGUGGCGUUUCCCGGUGGGCCAGCCCCGGGGGGAGCCGCCGCAGUGGGAGCCGCUCCCUGGGGGGGCCUGGUGGUGGUGGGGGUCCCCUCGGCUGGGGUCACCCCCACUGUCACCACCGGGCUGGGGAUGGUGCCGGCAGGGCCCAGCAGCCACGAGCGCUCGGUGCUGGCUCCCUCCUGCCCUGGCAGCCGGGUCCGGUCGCUCCGCUCGGUGCCGGGGGGCUCAGCGGUGCCGGCGGGGGYGGCCGUGCCCUUUGCAGAGCGGGUCCCGCUGCCCAAACCUGGGCUCAGCGCGCACCAGGCAGUCACUGGGGAGAGAGGGGAGAGCGCAGCGUGCACUGGCACGAUGGCAGCACCAACAGCAUGACAGCAGCGCCCACGCCACGCUCGGCCACGGGAACUGGCACCCGGGCAGGUGAGUGGCCCCGGAGCACGGCACCGGCACCCAGGAUGGCAGCACCAGCACCUGCGACGGCAGCACCAGCACCUGCGACGGCUGCUCCAGCCUUCCCAAUGCCAACCCACCGAGCGCCCCGGAAAGGUGCGGGAUGGCUCGUGCCAGCGCUGGG